rnacentral:rRNA from 1 species
UACGGAGGGGGCGAGCGUUAUUCGGAAUUAUUGGGCGUAAAGGGCGCGUAGGCGGCUGCACAAGUCAAAGGUGAAAUCCCUCGGCUCAACUGAGGAACUGCCUUUGAAACUGUACGGCUUGGGGCCGGGAGGGGGUAGCGGAAUUCCCAGUGUAGCGGUGAAAUGCGUAGAUACUGGGAGGAACACCAGUGGCGAAGGCGGCUCCCUGGACCGGUUCUGACGCUGAGGCGCGAAAGCGUGGGUAGCAAACAGG